rnacentral:rRNA from 1 species
AUUGAACGCUGGCGGCAUGCCUUACACAUGCAAGUCGAACGGCAGCACGGGUGCUUUCACCUGGUGGCGAUUGGCGAACGGGUGAGUAAUACAUCGGAACAUGUCCUGUAGUGGGGGAUAGCCCGGCGAAAGCCGGAUUAAUACCGCAUACGAUCUACGGAUGAAAGCGGGGGACCUUCGGGCCUCGCGCUUUAGGGUUGGCCGAUGGCGGAUUAGCUAGUUGGUGGGGUAAAGGCCUACCAAGGCGACGAUCAGUAGCUGGUCUGAGAGGACGACCAGCCACACUGGGACUGAGACACGGCCCAGACUCCUACGGGAGGCAGCAGUGGGGAAUUUUGGACAAUGGGCGAAAGCCUGAUCCAGCAAUGCCGCGUGUGUGAAGAAGGCCUUCGGGUUGUAAAGCACUUUUGUCCGGAAAGAAAUCCUUGGCCCUAAUACGGUCGGGGGAUGACGGUACCGGAAGAAUAAGCACCGGCUAACUAUGUG